AGUGAACGCUGGCGGUAGGCCUAACACAUGCAAGUCGAACGGCAGCACAGUAAGAGCUUGCUCUUACGGGUGGCGAGUGGCGGACGGGUGAGGAAUACAUCGGAAUCUACUUUUUCGUGGGGGAUAACGUAGGGAAACUUACGCUAAUACCGCAUACGACCUACGGGUGAAAGCAGGGGAUCUUCGGACCUUGCGCGAUUGAAUGAGCCGAUGUCGGAUUAGCUAGUUGGGGGGUAAAGGCCCACCAAGGCGACGAUCCGUAGCUGGUCUGAGAGGAUGAUCAGCCACACUGGAACUGAGACACGGUCCAGACACCUACGGGAGGCAGCAGUGGGGAAUAUUGGACAAUGGGCGCAAGCCUGAUCCAGCCAUACCGCGUGGGUGAAGAAGGCCUUCGGGUUGUAAAGCCCUUUUGUUGGGAAAGAAAAGCAGCAGGUUAAUACCCCGCUGUUCUGACGGUACCCAAAGAAUAAGCACCGGCUAACUUCGUG
rnacentral:rRNA from 1 species